UAAGCUAGUCAAACAUGGAUUCAGCUCACUUGUUAACUAGUGGCCUCCAAUUUGCUGCAGUAGUUAACUAGUGGGAGCCCAAAUGCACACUUGCAAACUAGUGCAGCCAAAAUCCUCACUAGUUAACAAGUUAACACCUUUUUUGCACCUUGCUAGCUAACUAGUGAGGUGCAAAAUGUUUACUAGUAAGCUAGUGGGCUUGAAAUGUGCAGUAGUUUGCUAGUUGCAGUGUUUUUUGACUGUACGAGCUAACUAGUGAGGCUGUAAGGGCUUACUAGUAUGCAAGUGGCAGCCAAAAUGCCUACUAGCUCACUUGUUACACUCCUGGACACACAUGCAAAUGAGGGGAUUAAAAUCGAAGCUUCCUAUUGGCUCUCCAGCAAGAGCUCCACCCAGCAGAAAUUUAACCCUAUAAAGCCUGAUGAGGUUUCACUGCUGUGAACGGCCAGCUCCUUGGUUACUAUCCAAACAGAAUAAAGCACGUACAUGUGUGUGUGCGUCAGAUUCAUUAUUUUUUUUGAACAACAAUGAAACAAAGGUGAAAAUGUUUUAGCACUUAUUCUUAUUUUGAACAGAUUCCUAAUAGAUGUACAGAAAAGUCAAAUCUCAGCUCUAGAUGAACAUUAUUAACAGCUUAAUCAAAAUAUCCAAUAAAUCGUGGUACUUUACAGAAAACACUUCAAGUCAUAAUCUAUAUUCAAUCUAAUAAGUGACAGGGAUUUCAGUCCGUGAAUCCAAUAGUUUUCCCUCCUGCCUCUUUGAAAAUCCCACAUCAGUAAAGUCCAUUUCAAUUAUAUUCUGCUGGCAUUACAGGCGCCUGUACUGCCUGCAGAAUAUAAUUGAAACGGAUACAAAAAAAUUAUCUGAAGGUGCAGAAAUUAUCCAAAUACAGGAAUAUUCCAUUGUAGGCCCACUGAAGGUAUAAUGCUAUUAUAUUAUGAACAACUAAUCUGAUUUUAUUUGGAGGUCAGUGUAUGUUGAUCUGCUGCAGUAUUUGCUAUCGCCAGUAGAUGGCAGAGUAGAUUUUCUUUACUACUUUUCAAUUGAAAACUUGUAUUAUACAAAUGAAUAAGGAAAUGACUAAACUAGUGAUAAUAAAAUACUGUGUUCAUAGGAAUUACACAUCUGUUAACAUCCAGAACGCUAUUUCAUAUAUCUUAGGAUGUCAACCAUUAACUGUAUCAUAAAACAUGAGCACACAUGAGCACUGCUUCCAUUUUUAACCUAAGGAGUAGUAUAACCCCCCACCAAAAGGGGGCGCACUAUGCGUUUUAGCAAAUGGAACCCCCCACGAACAAGAAGCCCUUUUCUCCUAGGAUUUCUUCAUGAUACCUGAAGGUCCCGGAUUUCGACGUCCAACUUGAGAGUGUCAACGGAAGUGAUUCCAUAGUUAUCUGCUACUGAAAACUCAGAAGAACCUGAAUCUGAAUGAUGAGAUGGCGCACUUACCCCAGAUCGUGGAUACGGUGUGGCCAACCGUGUAAUCCAGAUCGAACCUGAUUCGUGUAACGAGAAGACAUCAUACCCCAGUCCUGCCCGUCACGUAGACGGGUAGUACUGAGUAUAGAGACCUAAAGACCCGGACCAGAACGGAACCAUUGAAUCCUCAAGCACACACACUAUUCAAGGACUGUACGGACGAUAUCCAGGGAACUGUACACAUACACACUGACAGGACUGAAUUAUUUACAAGAUUUAUAUAAUAUUUACUGUUUCUAUUUUAUGCUGUUUAAUACUGUUUUAUACUUUAUAUUGUGAUUGUUCGGUGACUGUUUGUGAAACAAUAAACUGGUCAUUUGUUAAACUUGUU